rfam:Gossypium hirsutum cultivar TM-1 unplaced genomic scaffold scaffold613.1, whole genome shotgun sequence
UAUUAAAAAUUUCAUCCAUUCCAACUGUUAAAAAUUAGUGUAGCUAACAAAAUAACCAGACAAUUACAUGUGAUGUGCCACAUGUACUUCAUUCUAACGUGCAGAAACCAGUUUUUAAAAGGAGAAAUGGAUAGAAUUUUUAACA